rnacentral:lncRNA from 1 species
GUCCAUGAUACCCACUCCCUGAAAGAUUGUAUGGGAUUUUUUUUUUGUUUAAAUCUUUGAGAUUUAUUUCAUUGCACUUGUUUUUAGAAUUUCUGGAGUUUGAAAGGUUUCUUGGGACAACUUUCUGUAGGAAUGAAAGGUCACUGGGUUUGGUUGGAUUCUGUAAGUUAUAUCAGGAUAAUGAACCUCUAGACUUUGUUCCUCCAGUUGAUGAGGUUUAGUCAAACCAAUGUUUCUAUCCUUAUUUUGUGAAUGACUGAGAUGCAAGAUAACCUGAUGAGAAGAUGGUAGAGGUCAGAGUCAUCAAUUUGUCCACCAGCUGGUGAGGAUAUGACAGUUAACCCAAUACUUCCCAUUAAGGGAGUUAGGAAAGAGAAUGAUUCAUGAGUUCAGAACCAAAGUAUGUCAAUCCUGUUGUCUUAGGAAGUAAAAUAUCAAGCCAAUGAAUUAAAGACAAUUCUUUUGAGAAAGCACUUACGAUUCCAAAUGAAUGCCUAAGCAAUAACUAAGAUCCCUUUUGGCUUUAUGUAUUCAUUAUUUGCUUACUCUGCACCUAGCACUUGGCUCCUUGGGACUCACAAAGAUGAAUCAGAC